UCCACAACUUCUCUCACUGCAGCUAAAGUGUCACUUUGGGAAUUUAUUAGAGAUUAAAUUACUAAUCUCUAUGUAAAUAUUCUCACGGUCCUAUUUUAAAAUAUGAACAAGUAGGUCUAUCAAGAUAUGUUUGGCAUUGAAAAGUAUCAACUAUUUAACAUCUUUGUUGACAUGUUCAGCAUAAAGAAGCAUUGUCAACAUAAGACUUGAAACUGUUGUACCUGAUAUUAUAAUUUGUUUGCUGAAAAAACUUGGCUACACUGGGUGCAGG
rnacentral:misc_RNA from 1 species